CCACGGUUCUGGAGUUACUUUCAGACCGUGGUUUAAAUAGAGCGCAGCUCACAAAGCCGCGCUUUUAUAUGUCGAAAAUAUGACGACCAGCAGGGGCAUCCGGGCUGGUACCCGGACUAUCUGCAGGAUCCGUGGUGGCUCUUACCUAGUCGCUACUCCAGGCCUAAGUUUGUGCCGUGCUGCGUAUCUACGCCGAUGGUGUCCCCUUACCGAGGGUGACCG
rfam:Pseudomonadales bacterium RIFCSPLOWO2_12_59_9 rifcsplowo2_12_sub10_scaffold_1074, whole genome shotgun sequence.